rnacentral:rRNA from 1 species
CAGCCGCCGCGGGAAUACCAGCAGCCCAAGUGGUGGUCGCGAUUAUUGGGCCUAAAGCGCUCGUAGCCGGGCCGGUAAGUCCCUUGAGAAAUCGGACGGCCUAACCGUUCGGCGUGCAAGGGAUACUGUCGGUCUUGAGGCCGGGAGACGUCCGAGGUACUCCGGGGGUAGCGGUGAAAUGUUCUGAUCCUCGGGGGACCACCGGUGGCGAAGGCGUUCGACGAGAACGGGCCUGACGGUGAGGGGCGAAGGCUAGGGGAGCAAACGGGAUUAGAUACCCCGGUAGUCCCUGUCUCUUAUU